UACGGAGGAUGCAAGCGUUAUCCGGAAUGAUUGGGCGUAAAGCGUCCGCAGGUGGCUUUGUAAGUCUGCUGUUAAAGAGUGAGGCUCAACCUCAUAAGAGCAGUGGAAACUACAAGGCUAGAGUACGUUCGGGGCAGAGGGAAUUCCUGGUGUAGCGGUGAAAUGCGUAGAGAUCAGGAAGAACACCGGUGGCGAAAGCGCUCUGCUAGGCCGUAACUGACACUGAGGCGCGACAGCGUGGGGAGCAAACAGG
rnacentral:rRNA from 1 species